UCUCCUCUGAUAGGAAAACAUGAUUUUUUUCUUUUUGGUGCAGUUUUAAAUAAAUGCUUUUUAUUUUUUACUUUUAUUUUUUUAUUUAUUCAAAAUUUCAAUUCAUUGAGACAACGGGAACCCUUUCAAAUUUGGCCCCAAAAAUAUGAAACAGACAGAUAGACAACAAAGCAAGUUAAAUAAUAAAAUAAUAAAAGCUAAGCUUUUAAAAACAAAAUGAAAAUUUUCCGUAAUAAUUUAUUGUUAUUAGGUUCAGGCUGAGUGUCUAGAUAUGGCACCCACUUGUCGAGCGUUCAUUAGCAUAAAAAUCUAUUUUGUUUAUUUUGAAAAUAUCGCAGCUUUUUGUUGCAAAUCCUUGAAGAGACGUUCAACUUCCAUUUUGAUCAAACAAGAUUUUUGCUUGUGCAUACAUAAUUAUUAGAAUUUGAAAAAUCUCUUGUUAGUUCUUCCGUCAUCCCGACCUUCAUUUCCAGCUUCGUGUGAUUUAUAAGCAAUAAAAGUAAUUGUGCAUUAAUGAAUGUAGUCACAAAUUCCGAUCAAUUAAUCAUAGUUUCAAGUAGUACUAGUUACUCUCCUCUGGUCAAAAUUUCUAAUUAUCUGCAAAAACCGCACUCUCUAAUAUUCUUUGGGAGUAGUAAGAAACAGUGUAAAUGUCGAGUUUUUGAUUCAGGUACUUAAUCAUUACUCUCUAAAGCCAUCAACUCGGCAAAAACUGUCAAAUCUCGUGUGUCUAAAUAUUCAUGAAAAUUUCACCGCUUUCAAGUGGAUCAGGCAAAAUCGGCAAGGUCGGCCGUUUUACGUAACGACCAAAUCACCCAGAGAAAGGUUUAGAAAUUUUUGAAUUUUUUGCCGGACGACGUUACACGCUUUUAGCGAAUCUGCGCAUUCCUCAAAUUUCGACCUAAUCACUCCACAUUUAUUACCCAACGAGACAUUUUAAGUACUUAGGUAACAGUCGGACACUUUCACUGGAAAACGCUUUUUGAAGGGAAUUUUUCGCGCAGUUACAUAGCGUAAAACGACUUAACACACUUGGACAUUUUCUAAAGCAAAUAGAGCAUGCAGGAUGGUCUACAUCUGCGACGUGAAAAACUGCAAUUUUAUAAAUAUCAAGGUUGAUGGACACUGGUUUCUAAAUAUCACACGUUUUAGAUUUUGGACAUUUUCGCAGAUUUCGAAUUAGUGGAGCGCUCGAGCAGUGAAGGAGCAAACACAAAAGUGGGAAAAAAAUUAAGUUCUAUUGUAUUGUUAUUGGGCAGUUAUAGGUCACCUACAUGGGUUUUUAAUGUGGCCAUUUAUAGGAUGCGAUAAUUGGGUCUAAUUGGGCGGGAAGGCAAUAAGGAGGAAAUGGAGUUUCAUCAAACUCAAAUUAAUUUUAAACAAUCAAACAAAUACAAAAAGCAGAAAGUGGAAAAACUCGAUUAAAGGCAGCAACGCGAGCGAAUAGUGAGAGCGACAAAUGGCCAAGGUCUACAAGCUUUGUCUGUGAAAAUCAAUUUUCAUAAGCAGAUUGUUACAAUAAAGUAUUAUUUUGAA